GAUGAACGCUGGCGGCGUGCUUAACACAUGCAAGUCGAACGGUGAAGCAGAGCUUGCUCUGUGGAUCAGUGGCGAACGGGUGAGUAACACGUGAGCAACCUGCCCCUGACUUUGGGAUAAGCGCUGGAAACGGCGUCUAAUACUGGAUAUGAGCUGCGACCGCAUGGUCAGCAGUUGGAAAGAUUUUUCGGUCUGGGAUGGGCUCACGGCCUAUCAGCUUGUUGGUGAGGUAAUGGCUCACCAAGGCGUCGACGGGUAGCCGGCCUGAGAGGGUGACCGGCCACACUGGGACUGAGACACGGCCCAGACUCCUACGGGAGGCAGCAGUGGGGAAUAUUGCACAAUGGGCGAAAGCCUGAUGCAGCAACGCCGCGUGAGGGAUGACGGCCUUCGGGUUGUAAACCUCUUUUAGCAGGGAAGAAGCGAAAGUGACGGUACCUGCAGAAAAAGCGCCGGCUAACUACGUG
rnacentral:rRNA from 1 species